rnacentral:lncRNA from 1 species
UUGUUAAUAAGAUCAAGUUGUUAAUGGGAGAAAACAACCUCGAAAUGGAGAGGAUGCUAUCCAAUAAAGGAGAAAGGUGGAAAAAGCAGUAUGAGGUUUUUGGAAAGCUGACAAACACAGGGAAUGUUAAAAUGCCUCCUCCACUUGAAACACUUCUUUGUUCAGGCUGUGCCUAUUUUGUGGUCAGUAGGGAGUAUGUGGGGUAUGUACUUCAGGAUUAAAAAAAUCCAAAAGUUUAUGGAGUGAGCACAAGACACAUACAGCCCUGAUGAGCAUCUCUGAGCCACCAUCCAGAGUAUUCCUGAAGUCCCCGGCUCACUCUCUACAAGCCAUAAGUAUGACUUGUCUGACACGCAUGCAGUCGCCAGGUUUGUCAAGUGGCAGUACUUGGAGGGUGAUGUUUCUGAGGAUGCUCCCUACCCACCCUACGAUGGGGACCACGUGCACUUGGUGUGCAUUUUCAGAGCUGGUGACUUGAAAUGGAUGCUGUGCAAGCACCACUUGUUUGCCAAUAAGCUUGACAUCGACGACCUCUUUGCCAUCCAAUGUUUGAAUGAUUAUCUGAGACAUGAAGCUUGGAGAUGUUAGAAGAUUG